rnacentral:rRNA from 1 species
CCGGCGCACUGGUGAGUAACACGUAUGGAACCUGCCCGCAGCAGGGGGAUAAGCGGAAGAAAUUCCGUCUAAUACCGCGUAACAACGUUGGGAGGCAUCUCCCGAUGUUUAAAGAUUUAUCGGCUGCGGAUGGCCAUGCGGCGCAUUAGCUAGUCGGCGGGGUAACGGCCCACCGAGGCGACGAUGCGUAGGGGUUCUGAGAGGAAGGUCCCCCACACUGGUACUGAGACACGGACCAGACUCCUACGGGAGGCAGCAG